AGGGAGACCUAAUUCAGGUAUGGGAUGAAAAAAAAGUAGUCCCAACCAAGAAUCAAUCCCAAAAGGUCGGAGCGAGGCAAAAUUGGCUUUCAAACUAGGUUCUGGGUUCACACAAGACCUGAAUCAGGAACAAGGGCUAUUAGCUCAGGUGGUUAGAGCGCACCCCUGAUAAGGGUGAGGUCCCUGGUUCGAGUCCAGGAUGGCCCACCUGCACAGGUGGCCAAAACAAAGAAAAAAAGCUCCGAAUCAGCACCUUAUCUUACUUAUAUAGUAAGAGAGAAUGCUGGCUCUGAGUACAGAGUCCAGAGGAACCUUGAAAACUGCAUAGAGCUAGGUGAAAAAGCCAAAAAAGAAGACCGCAAGGUCAAGCUAAUAAGGGCUAACGGUGGAUACCUAG
rnacentral:tRNA from 1 species